CAAUUUUAAAAAGGCAAACAUGGUGUCAAGUGCUCCCAGAAAAAGGAUGAGUCCUAAGCCAGAGCUGACUGAAGAGCAGAAACAGGAAAUCCGAGAAGCUUUUGAUCUGUUUGAUGCAGAUGGGACUGGGACCAUCGAUGUAAAGGAACUAAAGGUGGCAAUGAGAGCGCUGGGCUUUGAGCCCAGGAAAGAAGAAAUCCAGAAAAUGAUCAGCGAAAUUGACAAGGAGGGGACAGGCAAAAUGAACUUCAGCGACUUUCUGACCGUGAUGACUCAGAAAAUGUCUGAGAAAGAUACCAAGGAAGAAAUCCUGAAAGCUUUCAAGCUCUUCGAUGAUGAUGAGACCGGGACAAUAUCGUUCAGAAAUCUGAAGCGCGUGGCCAAGGAGCUGGGCGAGAACCUGACCGAUGAGGAGCUGCAGGAGAUGAUUGAUGAAGCCGACCGAGAUGGAGAUGGCGAGGUCAACGAGCAGGAGUUCCUGCGCAUCAUGAAAAAGACCAGCCUCUAUUGAGACCCGUGUCAUGUCUCCUGCUGCAAGCGCAUGUGACUAGAGUAGUGCCCGCUGUCCUCUCAAUUCCAGCUCCCCAUUGCCCUGUAGAACAUCAGCCGUGGCCUUGAAUCUGAUUUGGACUUCUGAAAGUGUUUUUCGAUAUAAAAAAGUUCUUUGUAAAAUGA